AACGAACGCUGGCGGCAUGCCUAACACAUGCAAGUCGAACGAGACCUUCGGGUCUAGUGGCGCACGGGUGCGUAACGCGUGGGAACCUGCCCUUAGGUUCGGAAUAACUCCCCGAAAGGGGUGCUAAUACCGGAUAAUGUCUUCGGACCAAAGAUUUAUCGCCUUUGGAUGGGCCCGCGUUGGAUUAGCUAGUUGGUAGGGUAAAAGCCUACCAAGGCGACGAUCCAUAGCUGGUCUGAGAGGAUGAUCAGCCACACUGGGACUGAGACACGGCCCAGACUACGGGGGGGGGCGGCAGGGGGGAGAAUCGCGCAGUGGGAGAAACCCUGAUCCAGGACUGUGGCGUGGGUGAUGGAGCGCUUUGGGGGAUAAUUCUUUUUUACGUGGUAUGAUAAUGACAGCGGCGGGAGCAUAACCUCCGACCCACCCCGCGCCAGCGGCCGCGGUAAUCGGGGGAGGAGCACACGUCUCAGC
rnacentral:rRNA from 1 species